CUGCCCGCCCAAAGUGCUGGGAUUACAGACAUAAGCCACUGAGCCCAGCCUUGAAGCUAAACAUAUACUUACCAUAUGACCCAGCAACUCCACUCCCAAGAGAAAUGAAAGUGCAUAUCCUUCCAAAGACUGGUGCCAAAUGUUCACAGCAGCUUUAUUGGUAACAACAACAACAACAACAACAACAACAACAAAACUAGAAACAACCCAAAUAUCCAUCUACAGGCAAAUGGAUAAACAGUCUGUGGUAUAUACAUACAAUGGAAUACUGUUGAGCAAUAAAAAGGCAUAAACUAUUGAAACAUGCAAAAAAUGGAUAAAUCUCAAGAUAAUUAUGUUGAUGGAAAGAAUCCAGACCAAAAAAAGAGUACAUAUUAUAUGGCUCCAUUUAUAUAAAAUUCUAGAAAAUGCAAACUAAUCUACAGAGACAGAAAGAAGAUCAGCAGUUCCUUAGAACGGAGAAUGUAGGUAGGGGCACAAGAGAGGGAUUGCAACGUGAUUUCUCCAAGGGGUGAUGGAUGUUUAUUAUCUUGAUAGUGGUGAUGGUUUCUCGAGUACACAUGUACAUAAAAACUUAUAAUAUUGUAUACAUUAAGUGUGUAGUUUACUGUAUGUAAAUUACACAUCAACAAAGGUAUUAAAAAUGGAAAAUAAAACAAAUCAGAAUGCUGUUAGGAUGGUGCUGUUAGACAAAACUGUAUAAAUAUUCCUUUUAGAAGCCAACAAAUCUACUUCUCUCCUGCAUCUAUGGCCUUGAACUGCAUUUUCACUAGAGAACUUUCAGCUUGGGGCAAAAAAUAUUUAGCUCUGGGUGUGGGGGAAGAUUUUUGUUACUUCCUCCUGUAGCCUAUAUAGGUGCAGAGAGGAAGAAAUACAGUUCACAGUCAUAGUCCUCAAAUGAAGGAGCAAAGGAGUAAUAGGGUCACAGCCUGGACAGAGCCCAAGAAUAAACGGGCAAGAGCUUACAUAGGCAGAUGGACAUCCUUCUGUCUAUAAUAUGCUUAGCAUAGGUGCAGUGGUGGCAGGGCAGAGGGAUGCAUGCUUCUCUGUACAACAUGUUCUCUCACUUCCGUGUUUCAGAAGACAUCUUAUAAUCAUGGUUGUUUUCAGAAAGAACAAAAUGAAACUUUCUGGUGGCAUUCAUAAAGACAUAAAAAUAAUGGUUUGCGUAGCUCAUCAGGAUCCAUUGAGGCGGGGCGCUGUGGCUCAUGCCUGUAAUUUCAGCACUUUGGGAGGCCGAGGCGGGCAGAUCACUUGAGGUCAGGAGUUCGAGACCAGCCUGGCCAACAUGGUGAAACCCCAUCUCUACUAAAAAAACAAAAAUUAGCAGGGCAUGGUGGCAGGUGCCGUAAUCCCAGCUACUCAGGAGGCUGAGGCAGGAGAAUUGCUUGAACCCGGGGGCAGAGGUUGUAGUGAGCUAAGAUUGCACUACUGCACUCCAGCCUGCGCAACAGAGUGAGACUGUCUCAAAAACAAAACAAAACAAAAAAACAAAAAUGAUCCAUUGAGAUAGUGAGUUUGUCUGUGAGAAGCAAGGGCCAUUUUUCCCUUCCACUUUUCAUUACCACAUACUGUGAUUAUUGGUAUGGUGGAUGCUCCGUGUGUGUGUAGACAGAAAAAAAGAGGCACUACAUAGAGUGGUUAGAAACAGAGAUAAGAGAAACUACAAGAGAUAAACAGAAUCAGGUCUCCAGUUUUUUGUUUUUUUUUUUUCAAAUUAGAAAAGGGCUUAGCAUCUAGACACAACAAAGAAGUGCUGGAAAUUCAGUGAUCAAAGAUACUUCAUGUAACGACUCUGGUGUUUUUUUUUUUUUUUUUUGGCAAGAAUAUGGUAACAUGAUGGUAAUUAGCAGGGAGAGGUGUAAAAGAAGCAUAUGAAAAUAAUAUUAUAUCACUGGGCUUCUUUGUCAGUGGGUCAGGUUAUGACCUCAAAUGGCAGUAUAACUAUUACUGAUGUGUAGAAUUUUGACUUAAAAAAAUGCUUGAGAGUAAAAUCACCUGAGCUAUCCAUAAUGCAUUAGUGUCCAUAUCCUUUAGAUCACCAGAAACAAAAAAAUAAGAAAGCAUCACCUGAAUUUUACUAUUGUUAGGAUAUACAAAUCAAAAUAGCAUAAAAGAUAACUCAUAUUUAAGUCAGAAUUUUUGUUUUGGCCUGACUCCAUGAAUUUAUGAAAUUGUGUAAGGCAAGGAAAAGGCAUUUAAAAAAUGUCUCUGGGCUGGGCGAGGCGAGAGGAUAGGUUGGGAGGUAGAGGUUCCAGUGAGCCGAGAUUGCGCCACUGUACUCCAGCCUGGGCGAUGAUAGAGUGAGACCCUAUCUGAAAAAAAAAAAAAAGUAUCUUGGUUGGUUUCAAGGAAUUGCAUAAAUGAAUACCUGGGAAAUGCUUUGGAGUAUUGUGGAGUAUAUAUAGGAAGGUAUCUUAAAUGUUUACAAAGUUUGAGAGGGCAACAAUAAUAAUAAUAGCAUUUCCAGCUUAUGGAAGAUUGGUAAUUUCUAUUCACCAAAAUAGUAUGUAUUUAAUUAUAUUAUAAAAUAUUAGAGUGCAUAGAAAUAGUAUUACAACUGAUAAUCUUUUUAAGAUUACACGUUUUGAAGGGCCAAAUAUAUUGUGGACAUUUGCUAUUACUUUGGCCAUUCAGCAUCUGAAACCCCAUGUUAGAAUUCCCAUUUAUAACCUAGUUGGUAGAGGCGUAAAAAUCCCAGAUGCUUGCUUUCCCUCGCUUUGUAGUUAGUAUGCAGGCUUAUAACCUGGAUUUCACCAUUCGGAUCUAGCUGCACCAGAUUUUCACUUGGAAGCUAGUAAAGGAAAACCAAACAAACAAUAGUAUCCGCAAAGAAACAAUAACUAAACCUAGGAAUGGUGGAGCUGUCUUUCGCUCUGGAUGAGUCAACUGUAGUGGUUGAUGGAAAAUAAAGUUUCAGUUAAAGAACUAGCAGCCAUGUUGUGGGGGGUGGGAGUUGUGAGUUCUGAUUCCUUGCAGAGAGCCACCUAAUCUUGUAAAUUAACUUAUCUGAUUAAAAAAAGGUAACGACUUCAUUAUACAAAACCUGUAGGAUACAGAAAAGGUGUGUGGGCUUCUGUGUGUAUGUAUGUAUGCAUAUACAUAUAAAUAUAUAUAUAUAUAUAUAUACACACACACAUUGAGGGUUUUCUUCUUAAAGUUGGGAUCAUACCCUAUAGUUUUAUGUCUUUUAAUGCAAUUUUCGAUAUUUUCUAUGCCUUUCUUUGACAAUGCAAUUUUAAAUAACUGCAUCAUUUAACUGUUCUUCUAUUGAAUAUUUAGACUCUCUAAUAUUUUGCUGUCAGAGGUUUCAAAGAAUAUUCUUGUAUAUAAACUUUACUAUACUUCUGAUUGUUGCUUUAGGAUAAAUUCCUAGAUGGCAGAUUACUAAAACUGAGUGAAAUCUGAGGCUUUUUAAAGCUCUUGAUAUGGUUAUAAAGUUGUUCUCCAGAGGUGGCUGACCCACUCUUGAAUCACUAAUGGGUUUUGAAUAGAAAGUGCUGACACUGAACUUUAAUAAAACUGUAAUGUCAGACAUAAAUUUUUUUUUUUUUUGAGACAGAGUCUCGCUCUGUCGCCCAGGCUGGAGCGGCAGUGGCAUGAUCUGGGCUCACUGCAACCUCCACCUCCUGGGUUCAAGUGAUUCUCCUGCCUCGGCCUCCCAAGUAGCUGGUACUACAGGUGUGCAAAAAUAUUUUUUAAAAUAAUGACUAUUGUAGCUGUUAUGAAAGCAUACUACUUGCCUGACAUGGCUAUGUGCUUUAGAGACAUCAUCACAUUGACUGAUUGAUUGACUGAGACAAGGUCUUGCUUUGUCACUCAGGCUAGGGUGCAAUGGUGUGAUCGUGGCUCACUGCAGCCUCAGUCUCCCAGACUUCAGCAAUUCUCCUGAGUAGCUGGGACUAUAGGCAUGCAUCACCACACCUGGCUAAUUUAUUUUUAUUUUUAGUAGAAAUGGGAUCUUGCUGCGUUGUCCAGGCUGAUCACAACCUCCUGAGCUCAAGCAGUCCUCCUGCCUUGGCCUCCGAGAAUGCUGGGAUUAUAGGCAUGAGCCACUGCACCUGGCUGACAUUAUCACAUUUAAUCCUCACACUGAUACUUUUUACUGGUACUUUCAACCUCAUCAAUAAAAUGGGGGGAUAUGGCCAAAUAUUUUGCUAAAGGUCACAUAACUCAUAAAUGUGGACUGAGGAAUGAAGCAUUGUCUUUUUUUUUUUUCUUUUUUUUUUGACUUCAAAGUUCAUUUUCUUUCCUUUAAACCGUUGUAACCCAAGAACUUAA
rnacentral:lncRNA from 1 species